UGUGGCCACGCCUGUCCGAGGGUCGGCU
rnacentral:rRNA from 1 species